AUGGAGUCUGGCUGCACCUCUCUUUGACCUCAUUUAAGGGCUGACUGCCACUGGGGAAGGAUCUCUUUCUGGAGAUCUGUCCUUGGUGAAGCUUUCCCCUGUGAACCUGGAAUCUUCUGGUACAGCCCUAAGUGAGAUGACUGACUUAAGAGGAUCACUGGCUAAAAAACCAUCAGAAAUCAAACUUCAGCAGGCAUGAAGAGUACAGUCAGUAUGAAGCAAGCAGUGGCCUCAAGGGAGCAGCAUGAAGGCAAGGCAAGCACACGGUGAUACUUUUCAGAGUCCUCUCCCAGAUUUCAGUGAUCUGCAGCAGAGUGGAGGUCUUGCAGCGUGCUUAGCUUGCUCAAAUCUAAGUGCUCUCGUCAUGGUGCUGUUUGAAAGAACUAAGCUUCCAUCACUUGAAAAAUGGUGUGAACGUGGGGGUCGGGCUGGAUGGAGAACAACAUAUAAGAAAACUCAGAGCAGUGCUGCAAUUCAGUUUAAACCUUGAUUGGAAAAGGCCAUUCAUUUGUAGUCUGCUGAGUUUAAGAAGCAGAAAAAUACAAGAAUUGCACACCGGGGAGACAGAAAAUACCUUCUCAGCCCAUCCCACCUUCUCUGCUGAAUGUGCAAAGGGACUUCAGGAGUGAUGGCAUGGAGGAUGCUCACAGCAAAUAGCUCUUGGGGAAGAGCCAGUGCACCUUGGUUUGUCCAGCAUGUGUGGAAC
ensembl:lncRNA